AUGAAGUGCCUUGUGCACUUUAGGCUGGUAGCCUUCUCAAAUUGCAUAUUCGGUGAAAGAAUGCCUCUAAAGAAAGUGAAGACCACAAGAAAUACCUUCAGUGAAAAAAACAUGCUGAACAAUUUCCUGAAGGAACGUGCUUACAGACUGUCUCAGAUUUCUUCUCAUGGCUCAAAUAAAAUUAUUCACCCCCUGAGGAACAUCAUGGAUUUGGUCUACAUGAGUAACAUCACCACUGGAACAGCCCCUCAAGAAUUCCAGGUUGCCUUUGACACAGCCGCUUCUGACUUGUGGGUGUCCUCCACCUUUUGCAUCAGUCCAGCCUGUUCUACACAUGUUAGGUUCAGACAUCUUCAGUUUUCCACCUUCUGGCCUACCAAAAAGACCUUCAGCAUCAACUAUGGAUCUGGGAGAAUGAAAGGAGUUGUUGCUUAUGACACAGUUCGGAUUGGGGACCUUGUAAGUACUGACCAGCCAUUUGGUCUAAGCGUGGCAGAAUACGGGUUUGAAGGGAGAACUUAUGAUGGUGUCUUGGGCUUGAACUAUCCCAACAAAUCCUUCUCUGGAGCCAUCCCCAUCUUUGACAAGCUGAAGAAUCAAGGUGCCAUUCCUGAGCCUGUUUUUCCCUUCUACUUGAGCAAAGACAAGCAGGAGGGCAGUGUGGUGAUGUUUGGUGGGGUGGACCACCGCUACUACAAGGGAAAGCUCAACUGGGUACCAUUGAUCGAAGCAAGUGACUGGAGUAUACACAUAGACCGCAUGUCUGUGAAAAGAAAGGUUAUUGCUUCUGACAGCUGUGAGGCCCUUGUGGACACUGGGACAUCAUAUAUUGAAGGCCCAGGAAGACUGGUCAAUAACAUACAGAAGGCCAUCGGUGCCAGGCUAUGGGGUUCCAAGCACUACGUUUAUUGUUCGGUGGUCAAUUCCCUUCCCUCUGUUAUCUUCACCAUCAAUGGCGUCAAAUACCCAGUGCCAGUUUGACCCUACAUUCUCAAGGAUUCUAGAGGCCACUGCUAUACCACCUUUAAAGAGAGCAAAUUGAGUCCAUCUACAAAUAUCUGGAUCCUGGGUGACGUCUUCCUGAGGCAGUACUUCUUGGUUUAUGAUCGAGGAAACGACAGGAUUGGCCUGGCACAGGCAGUGUAA